CCUACGGGUGGCUGCAGUGGGGAAUUUUGGACAAUGGGGGCAACCCUGAUCCAGCCAUUCCGCGUGAGUGAAGAAGGCCUUCGGGUUGUAAAGCUCUUUUGUCCGGAGCGAAACGGGCGGCCCUAAUACGGUCGUCUACUGACGGUACCGGAAGAAUGAGCACCGGCUAACUACGUGCCAGCAGCCGCGGGAAUACGUAGGGUGCGAGCGUUAAUCGGGAGUGCGGGGCGGAAUUUGUAAGCCGGAGGUGAAAUCCCCGGGCUCAACCUGGGAAUGGCAUUUGGGACUGCAAGGCUUGAGUGUGGCAGAGGGGACUAGAAUUCCUGGUGUAGCAGUGAAAUGCGUAGAUAUCAGGAGGAAUACCGAUGGCGAAGGCAGGUCCCUGGGUUAACACUGACGCUCAUGCGCGAAAGCGUGGGGAGCAAACAGGAUUAGAUACCCGGGUAGUC
rnacentral:rRNA from 1 species